UAGUCCACGCCGUAAACGAUGGUCACUCGAUAUAUGCACUUUUAGUGCAUGUGUCCAAGCGAAAGCGUUAAGUGACCCACCUGGGAAGUACGCUCGCAAGAGUGAAACUUAAAGGAAUUGACGGGGGUCCGCACAAGCGGUGGAACAUGUGGUUUAAUUCGAUAUUACGCGAGAAACCUUACCUAGGCUCAAACGUAUGUCGCUAACGCCAAGAGAUUGGCGGUUCCUUCGGGACGGCAUACGAGGUGCUGCAUGGCUGUCGUCAGCUCGUGCCGUGAAGGUGUUUGGUUAAGUCCUAUAACGAGCGCAACCCCUGUGCUUAGUUGCCAGCACGUAAUGGUGGGAACUCUAAAGCAGACUGCCUGCGAAAGCAGUGAGGAAGGAGGGGAUGAGGUCAAAGUCAUCAUGGCUCUUACGUCUAGGGCUACACACGUGUUACAAUGGCGUGUACAAACGGGUCGCUACCUGGCAACAGGAUGCUAAAUCCCUAAAAAGCAACGUCUCAGUUCGG
rnacentral:rRNA from 1 species